CCUACGGGAGGCAGCAGUGGGGAAUAUUGGGCAAUGGACGCAAGCCUGACCCAGCAACGCCGCGUGAAGGAAGAAGGCUUUCUGGUUGUAAACCUCUUUUCUCACGAACGAAAACACUGACGGUACCUGCUGAAUAAGCCACGGCUAACUACGUGCCAGCAGCCGCUGUAAUACGGAGGUGGCAAGCGUUAUCCGGAUUCAUUGGGUUUAAAGGUCGAGUAGGCGGGAGCGCAAGUCAGAUGUGAAGACUCAGGGCUCAACCCCGGGCCUGCAUUUGAAACUGUGUGUCUUGAGAGAUGGAGAGGUAGUCGGAAUGCAGGGUGUAGCGGUGAAAUGCGUAGAUAUACGGAGGAACAC
rnacentral:rRNA from 1 species